ensembl:miRNA
GCCUCUUCCUCUCGGUCCCAUAUUGAACUCGAGUUGGAAGAGGCGAGUCCGGUCUCAAA